rnacentral:tRNA from 1 species
UGGCUCAGUGGUAGAGCGCUUGCCUUGCAUGCAUGAAGUCCUGGGUUCGAUUCCUCAG